UACGUAGGGGCAAGCGUUGUCCGGAUUUAUUGGGCGUAAAGAGCGUGUAGGCGGUUUGGUAGGUCCGUUGUGAAAACUCGAGGCUCAACCUCGAGACGCCGAUGGAAACCAUCAGACUAGAGUCCGGAAGAGGAGAGUGGAAUUCCGUGGAUGUAGCGGUGAAAUGCGCAGAUAUCAGGAAGAACACCCGUGGCUAAGGCGGCUCUCUAGUACGGUACUGACGCUGAAGGUGCGAAAGCGUGGGGAGCGAACAGG
rnacentral:rRNA from 1 species